AGAAAUUAAAAAGUAUGAGAAUUGAGAGCUUCUGUGCGUUGGAGAGAUAAAGAGCGUCUUAUUUUUAUGCUAUUUGAUUUGAUUCGUUAUACAGGCAUAUAUUAUAAUUGAAUAUCUGAGAAUUGCUUCAAUGAAAAUCGGUUCUUCGAUUUCCAAACUCAAUUAUGUGUUUAAAUUUCUGUCUGAACAGAAGUGGGGUUCUGCUUUUGGGCUAAAAAUAUCAGCAGCUGUUGGUGUACUCAGUGCUGCUAUUAAAUUAUUGGCUGUGAAAGAUAAAGCUUUGAACUUUAACAGCCUGCUAUUGUUAUCUGAUGGCGAUUCUGAGUACUGGACAGUCCCAGUAUUGCAAAAUCUUCUUGAAUGUUAUUUUGCAGGCUUUGGCAAGCUGCUUAAGCUUUUGGAAAUAUCUUUAAAAAACUGUUGAGGAAUUCAAGUUUUCCUCAGAUGGAAUUGAAAGAAUUAAGCGUGCCACUUGUUAAUACCUUGGCUUCUCUAAUGUAAGGUCUGUGAGAGUUGUUUUCAUGUUCUGAAAAUAAGAAAUCGAAUUGAGGAGUUUGCUCAUUUGGAAAUAAGUGUCUCCGAUUCAUAAUGCAAUUGUGGUAAAAUUUAUCAAAUUCAAGUUCGGCAUCUUAUUCCGAGUAAUAUUAAGUUUGAACUUGUUGAUGUUUAUAAUCUCUUGUGGUUUAGAUGCGUUCUUUGAUCUGUGCAUAUGCUACAAGUUGUUUUCUAGAUGUCGGGAUUUCAUGGCUAGAGCCUAAAAGUGUACUAGUCAGGAAUGUGUUUAUUUUGCAGUUAUGAUCCACCUUUACUUAAACUCCAUAAGUCAUCUUUUAUGAUAGAUUUAUGUGAGCUUUUUUGGAAUCUUGGAAAGGUUACUAAACGGAAGGAUCUUAAUUGCUGCUUCAACAUUUGUUUUCCACGCAUGGUGAUGAGUUAGGUUAUACGACAAGCUUAAAUGAUCCGAGAAAUUAGUAGGCUUUAAAGUUUCAAAGUGUAAGAUUAUCAUAAUUUUUCUCCAUUAUUGCUUAUAUGAAGUAUUGUGCACUGUUUUCUACUUUAUAAAAACCAAAGAAAUCAUUUAUAACUUGUUUUAUUCUUUCAGUUUCCAUCAACACUUUUAGAUGAUAAAAGAUAGAAUUUAGAAAGUCUAUUCUCUUCCUGACUGACUGCUUUCUGAUUUUGCGUUCUACCUCUUCUGGUAAAGGGGCUUUAGCCUUACAACAAGCUUUUCACCUCAUGUUGUAAGCUCUAUCUGUAUUUUCUUGUCACAGUAGUGAUUGCUGUGAAAUUAGUUAUUGUAUUCAUAGUAUGGAUAAUGUUCUCACAGCUAGAUGAAAGAUCAUCUGAUGUAAAUUUUAUCUACUUUGAAGCAUCUCUAACCCCAUCCUGUUCCCCGUCUUCCUCCCGCCCAAACUGCGGUUUAUAUUUAUGGGAUGUCAAAUUAUUUCAAUUGACAUUUUGUAAUGCCACAUAGGUCUUCUAAACAAUAAUAAACUUUUUGUGUCCUGGUUGAAUUCAAUGAUAAGCUUGUUAAGUUGCAUUUAACAUUCAUGCCCAGCAUGAAUUCAUAGCAAACCUGACCUUACAGAAUUAGGUACUGUACUGGCAUAGAAGAACCGUACUGAUUCCAAGAGAACUUAUGCUAGCAAUGGAUAAUUACUUUCCAAGUUUCAAUCUAACUAGCCAGCAGUUUCUUUUGCGAUAAGCAUUUGAGCUUCAUAAUCAAUGAGGAAAUGUGUUAACUUGAAUUUGUCUAGAUGCAGGAUGCUGAGGAAGCAUUCUCUCAUCUCGUGUCUUCAUUAAGAAAAGAAAUCUUAAAGCUGGAUUCGAAUUGUUAAUAAUAGCAACGGGCAGGGUGAAUGGCAAAGAUGGUGGCACAGUUUCCUUGGGCCUUUUGAUGGGAUUGUUGGCAACAUUUUAAUAUACCAAAGCUGUUAGUUUCAGGUUGAUGGUACCAGGAAGAAUAUUAUCAUGAUAUUAUUAUUUCGAAUUGUUCAUUGCCCAUAUUUCAGGUUAGGUAGUUAAGACGGAUAUUGGAAAACUACAAAGUUGUACUCAUGAUGAUUCAUGCGACUGCGAAACUCUUUCUUCCCUUCAAGGAUUUCCAAGGUCAAACAAGUUCUGUUGUGUUUUCAAACAACUCAAUAUUGCACAGAGUCCAAAAGAAUGUAUAUACAUUUCCAUAGCCUUGUGUCUAUUGAAGCUUGGCAGUAGUUAUUGAAGUUUUAUUAUAUGCUGUAUAAAGACAGAUCAUGAUAUUAUUAAUUGGGUUCAUGGAGGAGGGGAAAAUAAAAAUCUUGAACAUGGCAUCCUCAGUGUAUAGUUG